rnacentral:rRNA from 1 species
AAAUUGAAGAGUUUGAUCAUGGCUCAGAUUGAACGCUGGCGGCAGGCCUAACACAUGCAAGUCGAGCGGUAGCACAGAGAGCUUGCUCUCGGGUGACGAGCGGCGGACGGGUGAGUAAUGUCUGGGAAACUGCCUGAUGGAGGGGGAUAACUACUGGAAACGGUAGCUAAUACCGCAUAAUGUCGCAAGACCAAAGUGGGGGACCUUCGGGCCUCAUGCCAUCAGAUGUGCCCAGAUGGGAUUAGCUAGUAGGUGGGGUAACGGCUCACCUAGGCGACGAUCCCUAGCUGGUCUGAGAGGAUGACCAGCCACACUGGAACUGAGACACGGUCCAGACUCCUACGGGAGGCAGCAGUGGGGAAUAUUGCACAAUGGGCGCAAGCCUGAUGCAGCCAUGCCGCGUGUGUGAAGAAGGCCUUCGGGUUGUAAAGCACUUUCAGCGGGGAGGAAGGCGAUAAGGUUAAUAACCUUGUCGAUUGACGUUACCCGCAGAAGAAGCACCGGCUAACUCCGUGCCAGCAGCCGCGGUAAUACGGAGGGUGCAAGCGUUAAUCGGAAUUACUGGGCGUAAAGCGCACGCAGGCGGUCUGUCAAGUCGGAUGUGAAAUCCCCGGGCUCAACCUGGGAACUGCAUUCGAAACUGGCAGGCUAGAGUCUUGUAGAGGGGGUAGAAUUCCAGGUGUAGCGGUGAAAUGCGUAGAGAUCUGGAGGAAUACCGGUGGCGAAGGCGGCCCCUGGACAAAGACUGACGCUCAGGUGCGAAAGCGUGGGGAGCAAACAGGAUUAGAUACCCUGGUAGUCCACGCCGUAAACGAUGUCGAUUUGGAGGUUGUGCCCUUGAGGCGUGGCUUCCGGAGCUAACGCGUUAAAUCGACCGCCUGGGGAGUACGGCCGCAAGGUUAAAACUCAAAUGAAUUGACGGGGGCCCGCACAAGCGGUGGAGCAUGUGGUUUAAUUCGAUGCAACGCGAAGAACCUUACCUGGUCUUGACAUCCACAGAACUUUCCAGAGAUGGAUUGGUGCCUUCGGGAACUGUGAGACAGGUGCUGCAUGGCUGUCGUCAGCUCGUGUUGUGAAAUGUUGGGUUAAGUCCCGCAACGAGCGCAACCCUUAUCCUUUGUUGCCAGCGGUCCGGCCGGGAACUCAAAGGAGACUGCCAGUGAUAAACUGGAGGAAGGUGGGGAUGACGUCAAGUCAUCAUGGCCCUUACGACCAGGGCUACACACGUGCUACAAUGGCAUAUACAAAGAGAAGCGACCUCGCGAGAGCAAGCGGACCUCAUAAAGUAUGUCGUAGUCCGGAUUGGAGUCUGCAACUCGACUCCAUGAAGUCGGAAUCGCUAGUAAUCGUAGAUCAGAAUGCUACGGUGAAUACGUUCCCGGGCCUUGUACACACCGCCCGUCACACCAUGGGAGUGGGUUGCAAAAGAAGUAGGUAGCUUAACCUUCGGGAGGGCGCUUACCACUUUGUGAUUCAUGACUGGGGUGAAGUCGUAACAAGGUAACCGUAGGGGAACCUGCGGUUGGAUCACCUCCUUA